GCAACCCCCACUGCCCCCUCCCCCCCCCCCCGAUCGUGGCUCCGCCGUGCGUCCGUCCGUCCCAGCGGCGCUCCUCGCCUUCGCGCAACAAACUUCCAAAGUUUCUCCAAGGGAAGGAAGGAAAGUGAGUGAAGCAAAGCGGGCCGAAGCUACACCGAUCGGACAGAACCGGGCCACAGGAGCGGCGGAGGAUUUGUUAAAGAGCCCCGCGUGCAGGCGCGCGCGCGGCGCGGCGGGGCGGAGCGGAGCGGACCGGACCGGGAGCAGGCCGACACUGAACGAUGUGGAUCUGGGUCCUCCUGCUGGGUUCGGGCUCCAGCUCGGUCGACGGUCAGCUGCUCCCAGGGAACAACUUCACCACGGAGUGCAACAUCCCAGGCAAUUUCCGGUGCGGCGACGGCAAGUGCAUCCCCGGGGGCUGGCAGUGCGACGGAUUGCCGGACUGCUUCGACAGGAGCGACGAGCGAGGCUGCCCCAAGGUGAGGUCAAAGUGCGCUCCCACGUUCUUCGCCUGUGCCAACGGGGUCCACUGCAUCAUCGGCCGGUUCCGCUGCAACGGCUUCAACGACUGUCCCGAUGGCAGCGACGAGGAGAACUGCACGGCCAACCCGCUGGUGUGCUCUGCCGCGCGGUUCCACUGCCGCAACGGGCGCUGUGUGGACCGCAGCUUCCUGUGCAAUGGCCAGGACAACUGCCAGGACAACAGCGAUGAAGAGGACUGCCACACCACCCCUGAGUCUCCGGGGCAGGACUUUGUGACGCUGGACUAUCGGCUGCGCUACUACCCCAGCAUCACGUACGCGGUGAUCGGCAGCGCCGUCAUCUUCGUCCUGGUGGUGGCGCUGCUGGCCCUGGUUCUCCACCACCAGAGGAAGCGCAGCAUGCUGCUCCCUCGUGCCGUGCGCCCCGGCAGCCACCAGCACCAGCCUCUGCUGCUGUCGCGCCUCGUCAUCCUGGACCGCUCGCACGCCCCGGGCCUCUCGCCCACCUCGCUCUCCACGUCCUACAGCAGCGGGCCGAGCCUCCAGCUGCUCUCCAGCACCCUCUACCCCAGCGGCCACACCUUAGACUCGCCGCCCUCCUACUCCCAGGCGGUGCUGGAUGUCAGUCGGCCACCCUGGUUUGACCUGCCGCCUCCGCCCUACCCUCCUGAGGGGGAGGAGAUGCCCCAGAGGGAUCUGCCCCCAUACGAGGUUGGUGGGAUGCAGCAAGAACCCCCGCAGCCCUGAGAGGAAGCAGGCUACAGCCAAGGACGGGUCGAACCCCCCAGUCGUGGCCCUGUGAGCCACUGUGUGUACAUAGACUGGCCAAGUGCUGCAAGCUGGCCAAACCGCCUGGAACACUGACCUUGCCCCCCCCCACAACCCCACGGUCAUGCCAAGGACCCAACCCCCACUUGCUGCUCCCUUUCCUCUACCACCAGAUGGAUGAGAGAGGUGCAGUUCUCGCUGUAGAUCACCGGGAGGCGCUGCAGAAGAGUCCAGCAGACAUUGGAACAUUUCCCAGGACCCAUUCCUGUGAGCUGAGAUGUCACGUGAUGUAGGUGAUAAAGGUGUAACUGCCCGUCUCUCCAGCAGGGGGCGCCCUGGCUAACGUCCAGUUUAUCAUGAGUCCACAGCUCUUCUCUUCAGAAGUGUUCAGUGUUCAUCAUCUUGGAAGUUCUACUAGUUUUUCACUAGUAUUUUUACCAGUGUUUUUAAUUCAGACUGUAUGAUUUAUGUCCUGUAAAAAGUAACGUUUUUGUGUAUAUUAUAUAUAUAUAUAAAUACAUAAAAUCCUCCUGUAAAUAUACGGUGAAGAUACAGAGAUUUAGAUUAAAGACAUAUCUGUUAUUAUUUAAGAGUCGUAUUAUGUCGGUAACCUCAAGCUUUCGCCCACCACCCCGACGAACCCUCGGACCACAGCACUUCCCUCUUACCGCCAGGUGGCGCUCUCCUCUUGUGCGGCCCGUUUUCUCGUAACAGUUUUCUGUCGGGGUGCCGACGGUCGCAGUGUCUCUUUCGGACCCGCCGGAACCGCGAGGGCAAAUCGAAUCCCAACCAGAACACGGCACAUGAGCCCUGAUGAAUAUGGAAACGACGCGUAAAGUAUUGCGACCCCGAGUGGUUGUGAGAACGGGUCGGUGUCCCGUGACGGUGUGUGUGUGUCGCUGGUCACCGCAGCAGUGUGUGAGGUGUCACGUGCUUUGUAAGUCACACUGUCCAGCUCCUGUUUCCUGGCUCCACUGGGAUCCCGGGCUGGGCGCGAGCUCUUCGAACCCAGGGACGCGGGGCUGUUUCCCAGCUGGACACGUACACGUACACGUGCACGUGCAUCAAGAGUCCUUAAACAUAAACACGUGACUCAUCUGGCGCAUGCCAUGAAAAUGUGUCAAGAUCGACUGGAGAAGAGCGCCGACUUCUGCCGCAGAGGCUCCCUGUGAGACCGAGGCGCACAAUAAACACACAGCGACACACAGAUUUGUUCUGUAAUCCGCGUCACUCUACGGAACACUGGUCACGGUACAGACGUGGAAAGAGUGGAAGACCCAGAAAGUGAAACAAUAACAAGUGAACGGAAGGAAGCGAGGAUACGUGUAGAGAUAUCAGUGACGGGAAGAUGUAACGCCUCGAACUCUCGAGUUUGCCUUGGCUUUGUCGCCUUGUACUUCGCCUUUGUUUACUUAUUGCAGAAUCUUUAUGAAAUAAACAAUGCGCACUGUAUAUGCUUGUUUGGGGUGUUGUCUGCGCUGUAACGGUGAUU